GCUUGACAAUAAAGUAAUAAACUGAAGCAUAAUAAUUUAACUUAGAUUAAAUAAUAAUGAGAUUAUGAUAUGCAAGGAUCAAGUUGAUAAGACAGUGGCUGUUAAAGUCCUGCCAGUAUCAGAUACCAGGAUCAUGACCCAAAGGUUUUACAUCAUAUUCAGCUCUUUUGAUUUAAUGAUGGUCAUUUAAGCCGAGACUUUGUGAGAUGAUUUACGUGAUCCCCUUUCAUAAUGUGGUUAGAUAACCAAAAGUGAAAAGUUUGUGCAUCAGCUUUAACUUACAUAGAAUAUGUGUGAUAUUUCUCUAGCACCUUCAAACCUCAGCUAACACGAUUACAAGAAACAACAAUGUGAGAAGGGCCAUUUACUGACACAUUUAUCAUUUAGCUUGAAGGUGUGGAGUGUGUCAUCAGAAAACAUUAUCUGUUACAGAAGCAUAUAGAGGAAGCAUAUCUGAGGGGGUAAUCACUCUAAAAUCCAACACUUCUCAGCAGUACAUCAGGAAUAAAAGUUACUUCUGCCAGAUAUUUAGGUUUAACCAUUGGUAGUGAGCAUUUGGAUUGUCUUCUCAUACUGACAUAUAGAUUUAUCAUUGCAAAUGCAUUUCUAACAGUGAAAAAAAAAAUCUACAUUUGUCAAGAAAGUUUAGGGAAAUACUUUAUUAACAUUUUUUUAAGUACUUGUUUAUAUUAUCAUCUAAACCUGUACUUCACUAAGAUUGACUUAAACCUAUCAUAAAGGAUGAGAAAAACCUCAUUUCAUGUCACAUCAUUUAGCAUAUUUGAAACCCUCUUAUUUUCCCUGCAAGCUCAAAAAAAUCUCUGAAAACACAAAAUCUGCUUUUUCAUCGAAAUUCUGUUUUCAAGGAAGUGCCAAAGAAUUUGACAUUGAAGCCCAGCAACAAGAACCCUGUGUGUGUGUGUGUGUGUGUGUGUGUGUGUGUGUGUGUGUGUGUGUGUGUGUGUGUGUGUGUGUGUGUGUGUGUGCAGCAUAUUUUGUAGGUAGACUUAACUAUUUUAUCAUCAUUAUCCAUGAAGGCGGCUGAAAAAUAAUCCCUGAUAUGUCAAUAUUUACUCUAGGGCUCAUACUGGUUGUAUGUAAAAGCUUAAUUAUUAUACCAGUAAUGCCAUCAUAUGCACCCAUAUCUUUUUAUUGUCAUAGCUGAGUCCAGUGUAUGAGUAAACAGUGUGCCAGAUACUUGUAGAUAUUAAAUCAUAAUAUACGUAAAACCUCGGGGGGAAAAAACAAUACAAUCUAUAAAAAGCCAUUAAGAGUGAACUAAUUCACUUUAUGACCUGUAUCAUGUCUUUUC